UACGAGAGCCCCGAGCGUUAUCCGGAAUCAUUGGGCGUAAAGGGUGCGUAGGUGGCGUUGUUAGUCUUCUGUUAAAGCCCCGAGCUUAACUCGGGAAUCGCAGAGGAAACGGCAAUGCUAGAGGUUGUGAGAGGUGUGCGGAACUCAUGGUGUAGGGGUGAAAUCCGUUGAUAUCAUGGGGAACACCAAAGGCGAAAGCAGCACACUGGCACAUACCUGACACUGAGGCACGAAAGCGUGGGUAGCGAAUGGG
rnacentral:rRNA from 1 species